rnacentral:rRNA from 1 species
UACGUAGGGGGCAAGGGUUGUCCGGAAUCAUUGGGCGUAAAGCGCGUGUAGGCGGCCAGAAAAGUCCGCUGUGAAAACUCGAGGCUCAACUUCGAGCUGUCGGUGGAAACUUUCUGGCUAGAGUCCGGAAGAGGAGAAUGGAAUUCCUGGUGUAGCGGUGAAAUGCGCAGAUAUCAGGAAGAACACCCGUGGCGAAGGCGGUUCUCUGGGACGGUACUGACGCUGAGACGCGAAAGCGUGGGGAGCGAACAGG